rnacentral:rRNA from 1 species
AUACGGAGGGUGCAAGCGUUACUCGGAAUCACUGGGCGUAAAGCGCGCGCAGGCGGCUAUUUAAGUUGGAUGUGAAAGCCUACGGCUCAACCGUAGAACUGCAUCCAAAACUAUUUAGCUAGAGUGUGGGAGAGGAAGAUGGAAUUAGUUGUGUAGGAGUAAAAUCCGUAGAGAUAACUAGGAAUACCAAAAGCGAAGGCAAUCUUCUGGAACACUACUGACGCUGAGGCGCGAAAGCGUGGGGAGCAAACGGGAUUAGAAACCCUAGUAGUCC